CUUGCCAGGGGAUUACGAGCGUGAGCUUAAAACCCAAAGGACUUGGCGGUGCUUUAGACCCCCCUAGAGGAGCCUGUUCUAUAACCGAUAAUCCCCGUUAAACCUCACCCUCUCUUGUUCUCCCCGCCUAUAUACCGCCGUCGUCAGCUUACCCUGUGAAGGAUAAAUAGUGGGCUUAAUUGGUACAACCUAAAACGUCAGGUCGAGGUGUAGCGUACGAGAGGGGAAGAAAUGGGCUACAUUUACUGACUCAGUAAAUACGGAAAAUGCUCUGAAAUAAGCAUUUGAAGGAGGAUUUAGCAGUAAGAGGAAAAUAGAGUGUCCCUCUGAAACUGGCCCUGAAGCGCGCACACACCGCCCGUCACCCUCUCCUAAAAAUAUAAACAUAUUAGUAAAUAAACAAACACUAAAAAAUAAGAAGAGGAAAGUCGUAACAUGGUAAGUGUACCGGAAGGUGCCCUUGGAAAAAC
rnacentral:rRNA from 1 species